rnacentral:rRNA from 1 species
UACGGAGGGGGCUAGCGUUGUUCGGAAUUACUGGGCGUAAAGCGCGCGUAGGCGGCUUUGCAAGUCGGGUGUGAAAUCUCCACGCUCAACGUGGAGGGGCCACUCGAUACUGCCAUGACUCGAGUCCGGUAGAGGAGUGUGGAAUUCCCGGUGUAGCGGUGAAAUGCGUAGAGAUCGGGAAGAACAUCGGUGGCGAAAGCGCUCUGCUGGACUGCAACUGACACUCAGGGACGAAAGCUAGGGGAGCGAAUGGG